AGUGAACGCUGGCGGUAGGCCUAACACAUGCAAGUCGAACGGCAGCACAGUAAGAGCUUGCUCUUACGGGUGGCGAGUGGCGGACGGGUGAGGAAUACAUCGGAAUCUACUUUUUCGUGGGGGAUAACGUAGGGAAACUUACGCUAAUACCGCAUACGACCUACGGGUGAAAGCAGGGGAUCUUCGGACCUUGCGCGAUUGAAUGAGCCGAUGUCGGAUUAGCUAGUUGGCGGGGUAAAGGCCCACCAAGGCGACGAUCCGUAGCUGGUCUGAGAGGAUGAUCAGCCACACUGGAACUGAGACACGGUCCAGACUCCUACGGGAGGCAGCAGUGGGGAAUAUUGGACAAUGGGCGCAAGCCUGAUCCAGCCAUACCGCGUGGGUGAAGAAGGCCUUCGGGUUGUAAAGCCCUUUUGUUGGGAAAGAAAGGCAGCAGGUUAAUACCCCACUGUUCUGACGGUACCCAAAGAAUAAGCACCGGCUAACUUCGUG
rnacentral:rRNA from 1 species